AGAGUUUGAUCCUGGCUCAGGAUUAACGCUGGCGGCAUGCCUUAUGCAUGCAAGUAGAACGGGUCAGUCGCAAGACUGAUCAGUUGCGAACGGCUGAGUAAUGGAUAGGAAUCUCCCCGAUGGUGUGGAAUACCUUAUCGAAAGAUAAGCUAAUACCACAUGACCCCGCAAGGGAAAAGCGCUUAACUGCGCGCCGACGGAUGAGCCUAUCUCCCAUCAGGCUGUUGGUAGGGUAAUGGCCUACCAAACCUAUGACGGGUACCCGCCCUGAGAGGGGAAACGGGCAGAAUGGGACUGAGACACGGCCCAUACACCUACGGGUGGCAGCAACAGGGAAUCGUGCGCAAUGGACGAAAGUCUGACGCCGCAAUGCCGCGUGGAGGAUGAAGGCCUUAGGGUCGUAAACUCCUUUUGCCAUGGGGGAGAUACCAUGGAGAAUAAGUGACUGCUAACUCUGUGCCAGCAGCCGCGGUAAUACAGAGGUCACAAGCGUUAUCCGGAUUUAUUGGGCGUAAAGCGUUUCGUAGGUGAUUCAUUAAGUUGCUCUUUAAAGACCGAGGCUCAACCUCGGGAAGGGGAGUAAGACUGAUGGAAUUGAAUAGUGGUGGGGUUUCUAGAACUGGUGGUGUAGUAGUGAAAUACGUUGAUAUCAUCAGGAAUUCCAAGGGCGAAGGCAGGAAACUAACCAUUUAUUGACACUGAGGAACGACAGCUAGGGGAGCGAAAGGGAUUAGAGACCCCUGUAGUCCUAGCCGUAAACUAUGCUCGUUAGGGAUUGGCGCUUGCGCCGAGUCCCGUAAGCUAACGCGUUAAACGAGCCGCCUGGGGAGUACGACCGCAAGGUUAAAACUCAAAGGAAUUGACGG
rnacentral:rRNA from 1 species